rnacentral:lncRNA from 1 species
CAAAUGGCAAGCAAGCAUAGUCCAAAUCUCAAAUAUCCAAUCCUCGUGUCACUAAGUGAUGUCCCAACACUCACUUGCUUAGUGCCUCUUUAUGACACUUAAGCAUCACAACAGAUCAAGCCCCAAUCUUGUUCUAUGUUUCCAUUAAAACGUCAAUACUAAUGAUUACCAUGACCCGGGCCCAAUGCCUCUUCAUGACAUUGUCCCAAUUCUCAAAUAGUCAAAGUUCUCAAACCCUCUCUAGGCUUCUAACAUUCCUAGUGUCACAAUUGGCAUAUAGGUUAAAUACAUGAAGCAAGGUUCAUUUACAUAAUAAGGAUCAUGGUUCCCAAUCAUAAACAGAAUGCUAAGUCUCACAUGCAUGCACUCUACCACAUAGAGGUCUAAAAUUUCACUAUACAUAAUAUAUGCAUGUUAAGCAUUCUAAAAUUCAUACUAAAUACAUUUAACAAGGAAAUGCAUGAAUUUCUAUUUUACGAAACAUAUUUGCCAAAUAUGAGCAUUUCUCAUAUCAUAGGCUAGGUCAAACCCACCGAACCGUCGCGUAGGGCCUCGAUUCGCCGAACAAAGUUGUCCACGAGCCUCAAGAUAACCUAAAAGUGAUCUGCGAAGAGAUACGAGGGCAUUACAACCAUCUUAUAAAAUCAAAUAUUAACCUAGAAGCAAAAAGGGCCAAAACUCACCUCAAGAGAAGAAAUCUCUUCCAAAGCUCCAAAAGAGAGCUAGAACCCUUCCAAACCAAGCCCAAGGAAGGUUCUAAUCCAAUUAAUCUAGCCUCAAAAGCCCUAGAUCAAAAAGCCCCAAAAUCAACCCUAAAUCUCAUUUCUAGAGUUCCAUCUACCAAAAAGCCUCAAAUCAAGGUCUACAAGGAGGGAAUAAGCAACAAACCUCCUUAGAAGCUCCAAUCCAAGCUCCAAGGGUGAAGAUCUCCCUCUUUGCAAGCUCCAAGUCCAAGCCUUCAAGCACCAAGGAAGAUGAGAAGGUGAGGAAGAUGCCCCAAGUCCACUAGUAGCUCCAAACUUCUUCUCCUUCCCUCCUUCUUCUUCUUCUCCUUCUUCUUCUUCUUCUCUAUCAAGGGUGUAGAGAGGGUUGAGAGAAGAGAAAUGGGGAGAAGAGAGGGUGGAGGGGUCAUAUAGACCCUCUAAUGUAACAAAAUCCAGCUAGGCCCUCCAAAAAUCCAAUAUUGCAUCAGCCCGAACUGGGCAGUUUUCGCCUAGAGGGACCGGUCUCUCCCCAGCAGGGACCGGUCUCUCGCUGCGAACCCGAAAAACCAUCGUUCGGGAACCGGUCUCUCCCUGCGNAGGGACCGGUCUCUCGCUGCGAACCCGAAAAACCAUCGUUCGGAAACCGGUCUCUCCCUGCGUGGGACCGGUCUCUCUCUGCGAAGGCGCGCUCGGGGACCGGUCUCGCCCGCCAGGGACCGGUUGCCUCAGGGCUGUCGCAACACUAUUCACUGGGGGACCGGUCUCUCCUUCCAGGGACCGGUCCCUGAGAGUAAAAACUCUCAGGACUUGUCCAGAAUUUCAGUUUUCGAACUUUUUAGGUCGGAAAACAUUCUACGACCCUCCACCAAGUGUGGAAAAGCUCGAAACACAUCCAAACACUCGAACCUCGCAAUUUGCAAAGGUCCGGUGUGUUACAUUUGAAGACAAAGAACACAAAUGUAUCAAACUUGUAAUAAUUGUGUUAACUAAAUUGUAUUUUGGAAAGUUGAUUGUAAAAGAAAAUUAUGAUGUAAAAUACACCUAAGAUGAAUGUUGUAAUAAUUUAGUUGUUUUAUGUUUUUGAUACUUUCUUAUGCAAUCUUUGGUUGAAUUCCGUUCCUGGUUGGAAUAUCGUGAAUUGUAUCGAUUGCGACGCCUUGGACGUACAGGGGAGACUCUGUCCAUGGUAC